UAUAUUUUUUUCUUUUCAUUUUAGCGUUUCUUUCGAAGAGAGUUAUUGCUUUACGUUCUUGUUUAAAUUUUACAAGUGACCACCUCAUCACCAUGCGACGAUGUUCAUUAACAUUUUACCCACCGGAUAAUCAAAUUCUUUCUCCAUCCUUGAAAUCUGUGAGCCUUCGGGGAAAUAAAAUAACUUAUCUUUCCUCGGAAGCAUUUGCCCAUCUUACUUUGCUCAUAUCUCUCGAUUUAGGGGAAAACAAGAUCCCGUGGAUUGACAGCUAUGUUUUUUCAGACCUUAAGAACCUUGAAUACUUGUA